GACGAACGCUGGCGGCGUGCUUAACACAUGCAAGUCGAACGGAAAGGCCCUGCUUUUGUGGGGUGCUCGAGUGGCGAACGGGUGAGUAGCACGUGAGUAACCUGCCCUUGACUUUGGGAUAACUUCAGGAAACUGGGGCUAAUACCGGAUAGGAGCUCCUGCUGCAUGGUGGGGGUUGGAAAGUUUCGGCGGUUGGGGAUGGACUCGCGGCUUAUCAGCUUGUUGGUGGGGUAGUGGCUUACCAAGGCUUUGACGGGUAGCCGGCCCGAGAGGGUGACCGGCCACAUUGGGACUGAGAUACGGCCCAGACUCCUACGGGAGGCAGCAGUGGGGAAUAUUGCACAAUGGGCGGAAGCCUGAUGCAGCAACGCCGCGUGCGGGAUGACGGCCUUCGGGUUGUAAACCGCUUUCGCCUGUGACGAAGCGUGAGUGACGGUAAUGGGUAAAGAAGCACCGGCUAACUACGUG
rnacentral:rRNA from 1 species